UACCUGGUUGAUCCUGCCAAUAGUCAUAUGUUUGUCUCAAAGAUUAAUCCAUGCAUGUCUAAGUAUGAACUAAUUCAGACUGUGAAACUGCGGAUGGCUCAUUAAAUCAGUUAUAGUUUCUUUGAUGAUACCCUACUGCUCGAAUAACCGUAGUAAUUCUAGAGCUAAUAUGUGCACCAAGUCCCGACUCUUUGGAAGGGAUGCAUUUAUUAGAUAAAAGGCCAGUGCGGGCUUGCCCGCUUCUCCGGUGAAUCACGAUAACUCAACGGAUCGCAUAGCCCUUGUGCUGGCGAUGCUUCAUUCAAAUUUCUGCCCUAUCAACUUUUGAUGGUAGGAUAGAGGCCUACCAUGGUGGUGACAGGUGAUGGAGAAUUAGGGUUUGAUUCCGGAGAGGGAGCCUGAGAAACAACUACCACAUCCAAGGAAUGCAGCAAGCACACAAAUUACCCAAUCUUGACAUGGGGAGGUAGUGACAAUAAAUAACAAUACUGGGCUCAUCGAGUCUGGUAAUUGGAAUGAGUACAAUCUAAAUCCCUUAACGAGGAUCCAUUAGAGGGCAAGUCUAGUGCCAACAGCUGUGGUAAUUCCAGCUCCAAUAGCGUAUAUUUAAGUUGUUGCAGUUAAAAAGCUCGUAGUUGGAUCUUGGGUCAUAAAGGUUGGUCUACCUACUCGGUGUGCACCUGCCCUUCUGUCCCUUUUUUUGACGGCGUGCUCCUGGCCUUAAUUGGCUGGGUCGUGGUUUCGGCGUUGUUACUUUGAAAAAAUUAGAGUGCUCAAAGCAAGAUUAUGCUCUGAAUACAUUAGCAUGGAAUAAUGC
rnacentral:ncRNA from 1 species